ensembl:lncRNA
GCUGGACUUAUUUUUCGUUUUUAUGAGCCGAUGAGGGUUUUUUUUAGUAACGGUACAAACAGUGAAAGGCGGUGGAUUUUCCAGAUGCUGGUCGAUGUGGAAAAAAUAACUGAGUUGUUUGGUAGUCGCUGACGCGGAGCUACAACCGAGGGCAGCUAUCCACCGGUGUGUGUCAGAAAGAACAUGCGGGGAACGAGGCGGCGAGGCGACCGCCGAUCGACCGGUGGUAGAUCGUGGAUCAGGGAAACCGAAGGCAGGAGAAGCAGGCGGCUGCCGGUCGGAGCGUGAGGUGAACUGAAUUUCAGGGAAACCGAAGGCAGGAGAAGCAGGCGGCUGCCGGUCGGAGCGUGAGG